GACGAACGCUGGCGGCGUGCCUAAUACAUGCAAGUCGAGCGAGCUUGCUUAGAUGAAUUUGGUGCUUGCACCAAAUGAAACUAGAUACAAGCGAGCGGCGGACGGGUGAGUAACACGUGGGUAGCCUGCCCAAGAGACUGGGAUAACACCUGGAAACAGAUGCUAAUACCGGAUAACAACACUAGACGCAUGUCUAGAGUUUAAAAGAUGGUUCUGCUAUCACUCUUGGAUGGACCUGCGGUGCAUUAGCUAGUUGGUAAGGUAACGGCUUACCAAGGCAAUGAUGCAUAGCCGAGUUGAGAGACUGAUCGGCCACAUUGGGACUGAGACACGGCCCAAACUCCUACGGGAGGCAGCAGUAGGGAAUCUUCCACAAUGGACGCAAGUCUGAUGGAGCAACGCCGCGUGAGUGAAGAAGGGUUUCGGCUCGUAAAGCCCUGUUGGUAGUGAAGAAAGAUAGAGGUAGUAACUGGCCUUUAUUUGACGGUAAUUACUUAGAAAGUCACGGCUAACUACGUGCCAGCAGCCGCGGUAAUACGUAGGUGGCAAGCGUUGUCCGGAUUUAUUGGGCGUAAAGCGAGUGCAGGCGGUUCAAUAAGUCUGAUGUGAAAGCCUUCGGCUCAACCGGAGAAUUGCAUCAGAAACUGUUGAACUUGAGUGCAGAAGAGGAGAGUGGAACUCCAUGUGUAGCGGUGGAAUGCGUAGAUAUAUGGAAGAACACCAGUGGCGAAGGCGGCUCUCUGGUCUGCAACUAACGCUGAGGCUCGAAAGCAUGGGUAGCGAACAGGAUUAGAUACCCUGGUAGUCCAUGCCGUAAACGAUGAGUGCUAAGUGUUGGGAGGUUUCCGCCUCUCAGUGCUGCAGCUAACGCAUUAAGCACUCCGCCUGGGGAGUACGACCGCAAGGUUGAAACUCAAAGGAAUUGACGGGGGCCCGCACAAGCGGUGGAGCAUGUGGUUUAAUUCGAAGCAACGCGAAGAACCUUACCAGGUCUUGACAUCCAGUGCAAACCUAAGAGAUUAGGAGUUCCCUUCGGGGACGCUGAGACAGGUGGUGCAUGGCUGUCGUCAGCUCGUGUCGUGAGAUGUUGGGUUAAGUCCCGCAACGAGCGCAACCCUUAAGCUUAGUUGCCAUCAUUAAGUUGGGCACUCUAAGUUGACUGCCGGUGACAAACCGGAGGAAGGUGGGGAUGACGUCAAAUCAUCAUGCCCCUUAUGAUUUGGGCUACACACGUGCUACAAUGGACAAUACAAAGGGCAGCGAAACCGCGAGGUCAAGCAAAUCCCAUAAAGUUGUUCUCAGUUCGGAUUGUAGUCUGCAACUCGACUAUAUGAAGCUGGAACCGCUAGUAAUCGUAGAUCAGCAUGCUACGGUGAAUACGUUCCCGGGUCU
rnacentral:rRNA from 1 species